rnacentral:rRNA from 1 species
CCUACGGGAGGCAGCAGUAGGGAAUCUUCCACAAUGGACGAAAGUCUGAUGGAGCAACGCCGCGUGAGUGAAGAAGGGUUUCGGCUCGUAAAGCUCUGUUGGUAGUGAAGAAAGAUAGAGGUAGUAACUGGCCUUUAUUUGACAGUAAUUACUUAGAAAGUCACGGCUAACUACGUGCCAGCAGCCGCGGUAAUACGUAGGGGGCAAGCGUUUUCCGGAUUUAUUGGGCGUAAAGCGAGUGCAGGCGGUUCAAUAAGUCUGAUGUGAAAGCCCUCGGGUCAACCGGGGGA